GCACAAGCAGCGGAGCGUGUGGUUUAAUUCGAUGUUACACGAAGAACCUUACCAGGGUUUGACAUGCAAGUGGUAGGAAGCCGAAAGGUGACCGACCCUUCGGGGAGCUUGCACAGGUGCUGCAUGGCUGUCGUCAGCUCGUGUCGUGAGAUGUUCGGUUAAGUCCGCUAACGAGCGCAACCCUCGUCGUGUGUUAUACGUGUCACACGAUACUGCCGGUAUCAAGCCGGAGGAAGGUGGGGAUGAUGUCAAGUCAGCAUGGCCUUUAUAUCCUGGGCUACACACACGCUACAAUGGCAGAUACAAUAGGUCGCGAAACCGCGAGGUGGAGCCAAUCCUCAAAGUCUGCCUCAGUUCAGAUUGUAGGCUGCAACUCGCCUGCAUGAAGUCGGAGUUGCUAGUAAACGCAGGUCAGCUAUACUGCGGUGAAUACGUUCCCGGGGCUU
rnacentral:rRNA from 1 species